rnacentral:rRNA from 1 species
CUCGUAGCUUGCUAUGAGAACAAUUAGUGGCAGACGGGUGAGUAAUGCAUAGGAAUCUACCUAGUAGUAUAGGAUAGCCACUAGAAAUGGUGGGUAAUACUGUAUAAUCCCUGCGGGGGAAAGAUUUAUCGCUACAUGAUGAGCCUAUGUUAGAUUAGCUAGUUGGUGGGGUAAUGGCCUACCAAGGCAGUGAUCUAUAGCUGGUCUGAGAGGAUGAUCAGCCACACUGGAACUGAGACACGGUCCAGACUCCUACGGGAGGCAGUAGUGGGGAAUAUUGGACAAUGGGCGCAAGCCUGAUCCAGCUAUGCCGCGUGAGUGAGGAAGGCCUUAGGGUUGUAAAACUCUUUCAGUGGGGAAGAUAAUGACGGUACCCACAGAAGAAGUCCCGGCAAACUCCGUGCCAGCAGCCGCGGUAAUACGGAGGGGGCAAGCGUUGUUCGGAAUUAUUGGGCGUAAAGGGCAUGUAGGUGGUUUGGUAAGUUAAAGGUGAAAUGCCAGGGCUUAACCCUGGAGCUGCUUUUAAUACUGCCAGACUGGAGUCCGGGAGA